rnacentral:rRNA from 1 species
AAUCAACGCUGGCGGCGUGCCUAACACAUGCAAGUCGAACGGGAAAGUGGAGCAAUCCAUGAGUAUAGUGGCGACCGGGUGAGUAACACGUGACUAACCUACCUUCAAGUGGGGAUAACCUCGGGAAACCGGGGCUAAUACCGCAUAACAUCUCUGUUAUGAGAAAGCAGAGAUCAAAGGAGUAAUUCGCUGGAAGAGGGGGUCGCGGCUGAUUAGCUAGUUGGUGGGGUAACGGCCCACCAAGGCUUUGAUCGGUAGCCGGCCUGAGAGGGCGCACGGCCACACUGGAACUGAAACACGGUCCAGACUCCUACGGGAGGCAGCAGUGGGGAAUUUUGCGCAAUGGGGGAAACCCUGACGCAGCAACGCCGCGUGGAGGAUGAAGUCCC